rnacentral:rRNA from 1 species
UGGGGAAUAUUGGACAAUGGGGGGAACCCUGAUCCAGCCAUGCCGCGUGUGUGAAGAAGGCCUUAUGGUUGUAAAGCACUUUAAGCGAGGAGGAGGGUACUGGUAUUAAUACUACCAGCUACUGGACGUUACUCGCAGAAUAAGCACCGGCUAACUCUGUGCCAGCAGCCGCGGUAAUACAGAGGGUGCGAGCGUUAAUCGGAUUUACUGGGCGUAAAGCGUGCGUAGGCGGCUAAUUGAGUCGGAUGUGAAAUCCCCGAGCUUAACUUGGGAAUUGCAUUCGAUACUGGUUAGCUAGAGUGUGGGAGAGGAUGGUAGAAUUCCAGGUGUAGCGGUGAAAUGCGUAGAGAUCUGGAGGAAUACCGAUGGCGAAGGCAGCCAUCUGGCCUAACACUGACGCUGAGGUACGAAAGCUUGGGGAGCAAACAGG